GACGAACGCUGGCGGCGUGCUUAACACAUGCAAGUCGAGCGGUAAGGCCCUUUCGGGGGUACACGAGCGGCGAACGGGUGAGUAACACGUGGGUGACCUGCCCUUAGCUCUGGGAUAAGCCUGGGAAACUGGGUCUAAUACCGGAUAUGACUCCAUGACGCAUGUUGUGGGGUGGAAAGCCUUGUGCGGCUAGGGAUGGGCCCGCGGCCUAUCAGCUUGUUGGUGGGGUGAUGGCCUACCAAGGCGACGACGGGUAGCCGGCCUGAGAGGGCGACCGGCCACACUGGGACUGAGACACGGCCCAGACUCCUACGGGAGGCAGCAGUGGGGAAUCUUGCGCAAUGGGCGAAAGCCUGACGCAGCGACGCCGCGUGGGGAUGACGGCCUCGGUU
rnacentral:rRNA from 1 species